rnacentral:rRNA from 1 species
UACAGAGGUCUCAAGCGUUGUUCGGAUUCAUUGGGCGUAAAGGGUGCGUAGGCGGCGCGGUAAGUCGGGUGUGAAAUCUUGGAGCUUAACUCCGAAACUGCAUUCGAUACUGCCGUGCUUGAGGACUGGAGAGGAGACUGGAAUUCAUGGUGUAGCAGUGAAAUGCGUAGAUAUCGAGAGGAACACCUGCGGCGAAGGCGGGUUGCUGGGCUGACACUGACGCUGAUGCGCGAAAGCCAGGGGAGCGAACGGG